UAGCACCUGUCCGCAUGCCCGUGUCGCCGACCGCCGGUCGCUGCCAUCCCACCGCACGUCACGCCGGCCAUCACCUCGGUGGACUCCCUGUGCUCCUCGUUGAUCGAGCCCCCACGCCAUCCACGAGCUUCUCCACUCCGGCACGCCACCGGCCGGAGGUUCGGCCGCCAUCAUCACCCCGGCCGCACGCCCGCCCCUCCCGUCGCCUAUAAAAGGGGGUCGAGCCCCUGCCGCCUCCCCACACCACCCGGCACCGCCCUCCCUGCUCGCCCUCUCUUCCAACC
rnacentral:lncRNA from 1 species